CUGAAUGAAAAAUGAAAUGAUAGAAAAGCUUACGUAGGAUAAAGAGUAGCAAACAAUGGCGGUGGUGAUGGCAGCAGCAUCGUUAUCCACCGUCAGAUCGGAAGCCACGAGUACCAGCUCCAGAGAACCGGAUGCCGGCGUCGGCGAGGUCUCUUCUGUCGGUGUCGAAGCCUACUUGGAUCGAGGCACGUAUUUCCUCAAUGUCACUUGUUUUCCGUCGUUUCAAUUUGUUGAUCGUACAACGACGUAUUACUAGAUGAAAAGUAGCCACCAUACAUAUCUAGCCGCCUAAAUGUGUUGCAGAGUAAUUUUAGGUUUCGAUUGGCAACGAAGAUUUGGAGCUAGUGUCUCUGCUGAAUCAAUUUUUGUCAUGAUAUAUGUGAAUUGCUUUUAUUUAUUUAUGAUAUUCUUUUGCUAUCGAAAACUUAAUCAAUUGGAAUUAGUUAGCUAAAGCUUUUGCUGUUCUAAUCAUGGAAUCCAUUGAUGUCUGUUUUGUAUCAAUUCCUCAAAACUUGUCAAACUACACCUAUAUAUCUGCAGUUUAGGGUUUGUAUUUUCAUAAAUAGCAACCAUUCAUGUAACCUACAAAUGAUGAUCAUGAUCGCCUUUGUGUAGCCUCGCCUCGUCCUCUCUUGGAGUGUGGAGGCCGCGUAUUCAGUUGGCGGAUGUGAUCUAUGGCAUGCUGAGUAGCUUUAGUACUAUGGUAGUAGUUCUUUUAAUAUCCUCAUUUUGAAUUAACUGUACAUGGUUAUUGAAGUUGGAAAUGCACAUGAAAAUGUAGUUCUUGUAGCAAAAGAAACCAGUACUCCCUAUUUGUGUGUAAUGUGGUGUGAUAAAUGGAGUGACUGCUACAGCUGCAAUAGAAGAGGAAGAACAAAUCAGAUUGAACUGGCAAUGCUUCCAAAAGGAGAAUGGCCAAAAUGGCAAGGUGGAAGCCUCUGAUAUGAGAAGCCAAAUCUUGGGCUGUGAUCUAAUGAAAAUGCUGUUGAUGGGUGCAAGAGCUGUGGGGGCAGUUUACUGUGCGCGGUGUCUGGGGACGGGAGAGUACAGGACAGGUACAUAAUGGGAUUUCAGUUGAUGAACAAAGAUGAUGCCGAUCCGCCCAAAGAUAAUAACCCAAGGAAUGACCACCAGAGUUCCCAUACAUUCUCUGACAUCUUACUGAAUAUUAGUAUGAUCAUACUGAUUCGGAUAACCAAAAAUGGGAUCAGCUGAUACAUGUUUUACCUUUCUUAUUUUGUUUUGUGUAUAGAUUAGAUACGCUUAAUCAUGUAUGUGAAGUCCACAGAUGUAGUUUGUUUGUGUAUACAUCUUAAACUGCCUUUAUUAGGCAUUUCUUACAAAAUGACUUUUUUUGUAUCCAUCA